rnacentral:rRNA from 1 species
AGUUUUCGGACAAUGGAAGUAGAGGAAAGUGGCGGACGGGUGAGUAACGCGUGAGGAACCUGCCUUGAAGAGGGGGACAACAGUUGGAAACGACUGCUAAUACCGCAUGACGCAUAGGGGUCGCAUGAUCUUUAUGCCAAAGAUUUAUCGCUUCAAGAUGGCCUCGCGUCUGAUUAGCUAGUUGGCGGGGUAACGGCCCACCAAGGCGACGAUCAGUAGCCGGACUGAGAGGUUGAACGGCCACAUUGGGACUGAGAUACGGCCCAGACUCCUACGGGAGGCAGCAGUGGGGAAUAUUGGGCAAUGGGCGCAAGCCUGACCCAGCAACGCCGCGUGAAGGAAGAAGGCUUUCGGGUUGUAAACUUCUUUUAAGAGGGAAGAGCAGAAGACGGUACCUCUAGAAUAAGCCACGGCUAACUACGUGCCAGCAGCCGCGGUAAUACGUAGGUGGCAAGCGUUGUCCGGAUUUACUGGGUGUAAAGGGCGUGCAGCCGGGUCUGCAAGUCAGAUGUGAAAUCCAUGGGCUCAACCCAUGAACUGCAUUUGAAACUGUAGAUCUUGAGUGUCGGAGGGGCAAUCGGAAUUCCUAGUGUAGCGGUGAAAUGCGUAGAUAUUAGGAGGAACACCAGUGGCGAAGGCGGAUUGCUGGACGAUAACUGACGGUGAGGCGCGAAAGUGUGGGGAGCAAACAGGAUUAGAUACCCUGGUAGUCCACACUGUAAACGAUGAAUACUAGGUGUGCGGGGACUGACCCCCUGCGUGCCGCAG